UACGGGGGGAGCAAGCGUUGUUCGGAUUUACUGGGCGUAAAGCGCACGUAGGCGGUCCUCUAAGUCGGGUGUGAAAGCCCGGGGCUUAACCCCGGAAGUGCACUCGAAACUGGAGGGCUUGAGUAUGGAAGAGGGUCUCGGAAUUCCCGGUGUAGAGGUGAAAUGCGUAGAUAUCAAGAGGAACACCUGAGGUGAAGACGGGUUGCUGGGCUGACACUGACGCUGAGGCGCGAAAGCCAGGGGAGCAAACGGG
rnacentral:rRNA from 1 species